UACGUAGGGGGCCAGCGUUGUCCGAAGUUACUGGGCGUAAAGAGCGCGUAGGCGGGUCUUUAAGUGAGAGGUGAAAUUCUGAGGCUCAACCUCGGAACUGCCUUUCAUACUGGGGACCUUGAGUGCGGGAGAGGCGAGUGGAAUGGUCGGUGUAGCGGUGAAAUGCGUAGAUAUCGAUCGGAACACCCAUGGCGAAGGCAGCUCGCUGGCCUGCAACUGACGCUGAGGCGCGAAAGCCGGGGGAGCGAACAGG
rnacentral:rRNA from 1 species